CCAUCCAGCACAUUCCAGUCAAACCUGUCAUUAUCUCAAACCCUUCAAGCCCCAUAUCAUUGCUGAGGAUAUCU